UCUCNCUCUUACUAUGNAAGAUCGAGCGGUAGCGGGUAAAGUAGCUUGCUACUUUUGCCGGCGAGCGGCGGACGGGUGAGUAAUGCCUGGGGAUCUGCCCAGUCGAGGGGGAUAACAGUUGGAAACGACUGCUAAUACCGCAUACGCCCUACGGGGGAAAGGAGGGGACCUUCGGGCCUUUCGCGAUUGGAUGAACCCAGGUGGGAUUAGCUAGUUGGUGGGGUAAUGGCUCACCAAGGCGACGAUCCCUAGCUGGUCUGAGAGGAUGAUCANCCACACUGGAACUGAGACACGGUCCAGACUCCUACGGGAGGCAGCAGUGGGGAAUAUUGCACAAUGGGGNAAACCCUGAUGCAGCCAUGCCGCGUGUGUGAAGAAGGCCUUCGGGUUGUAAAGCACUUUCAGCGAGGAGGAAAGGUUGGCAGCUAAUAUCUGUCAGCUGUGACGUUACUCGCAGAAGAAGCACCGGCUAACUCCGUGCCAGCAGCCGCGGUAAUACGGAGGGUGCAAGCGUUAAUCGGAAUUACUGGGCGUAAAGCGCACGCAGGCGGUUGGAUAAGUUAGAUGUGAAAGCCCCGGGCUCAACCUGGGAAUUGCAUUUAAAACUGUUCAGCUAGAGUCUUGUANAGGGGGGUAGAAUUCCAGGUGUAGCGGUGAAAUGCGUAGAGAUCUGGAGGAAUACCGGUGGCGAAGGCGGCCCCCUGGACAAAACUGACGCUC
rnacentral:rRNA from 1 species